rnacentral:rRNA from 1 species
UGGGGAAUUUUGGACAAUGGGCGCAAGCCUGAUCCAGCCAUGCCGCGUGCGGGAAGAAGGCCUUCGGGUUGUAAACCGCUUUUGUCAGGGAAGAAAUCUUCUGAGUUAAUACCUCGGGAGGAUGACGGUACCUGAAGAAUAAGCACCGGCUAACUACGUGCCAGCAGCCGCGGUAAUACGUAGGGUGCAAGCGUUAAUCGGAAUUACUGGGCGUAAAGCGUGCGCAGGCGGUUUUGUAAGACAGAGGUGAAAUCCCCGGGCUCAACCUGGGAACUGCCUUUGUGACUGCAAGGCUUGAGUGCGGCAGAGGGGGGAUGGAAUUCCGCGUGUAGCAGUGAAAUGCGUAGAUAUGCGGAGGAACACCGAUGGCGAAGGCAAUCCCCUGGGCCUGCACUGACGCUCAUGCACGAAAGCGUGGGGAGCAAACAGGAUUAGAUAGCCCCUGGGUAGGUCCACGCCCCUAAAACGAUGUCAACUGGUUGUUGGGAAGGUUCCUUCUCAGUAACGUAGCUAACGCGUGAAGUUGACCGCCUGGGGAGUACGGCCGCAAGGUUGG